UACGUAGGGGGCGAGCGUUGUCCGGAUUUAUUGGGCGUAAAGAGCGUGUAGGCGGCCAGGUAGGUCUGCUGUGAAAACUCGAGGCUCAACCUCGAGACGUCGGCGGAAACCAUCUGGCUAGAGUCCGGAAGAGGAGAGUGGAAUUCCUGGUGUAGCGGUGAAAUGCGCAGAUAUCAGGAAGAACACCAGUGGCGAAGGCGGCCUGCUGGGCUGUUGCUGACGCUGAGGCGCGACAGCGUGGGGAGCAAACAGG
rnacentral:rRNA from 1 species